CUCCGGGUUUGGCAAGAAGUUCACCUCUUUCUUCUAAGGAGCAAAGUUUAAGGUCAAUGUAAAUGUCAAAUGAUGAAGUCACGAGGCCGCGUACCAGAAAAACCUGUGACGUUCCCCCUGCUUUUGUUUUACUAAAAGAGAUAGAGGAAGGAGAGAGAGAGAAGGGAAUAAAGAGCAGAGCUGAGCACACUGCCAACAAGGACUGGAACCCUUCAGAUACUUCAUGUUUGAUCUCCAAGUCUACUGACAGAGAUUUGCUCUUUCUGACAGACCAG
rnacentral:lncRNA from 1 species